rnacentral:rRNA from 1 species
CCUACGGGCGGCUGCAGUGAGGAAUAUUGGUCAAUGGACGAGAGUCUGAACCAGCCAAGUAGCGUGAAGGAUGACUGCCCUAUGGGUUGUAAACUUCUUUUAUAUGGGAAUAAAAUGUUCCACGUGUGGGAUUUUGUAUGUACCAUAUGAAUAAGGAUCGGCUAACUCCGUGCCAGCAGCCGCGGUAAUACGGAGGAUCCGAGCGUUAUCCGGAUUUAUUGGGUUUAAAGGGAGCGUAGGUGGAUUGUUAAGUCAGUUGUGAAAGUUUGCGGCUCAACCGUAAAAUUGCAGUUGAAACUGGCAGUCUUGAGUACAGUAGAGGUGGGCGGAAUUCGUGGUGUAGCGGUGAAAUGCUUAGAUAUCACGAAGAACUCCGAUUGCGAAGGCAGUUCACUGGACUGCAACCGACACUGAGGCUCGAAAGUGUGGGUAUCAAACAGGAUUAGAUACCCGAGUAGUC